CAAUAGCGUAUAUUAAAGUUGUUGCAGUUAAAAAGCUCGUAGUUGGAUUUCGGGGCAGCCUGGCUGGUCCGCCGCAAGGCGAGUACUGGUCAGCCGCCCUUCCUCUCGAAAGCCCCGACUGCUCUUUAUUGCAGUGGUCGGGUAGUUCGGGACGUUUACUUUGAAAAAAUUAGAGUGUUCAAGGCAGGCCUACGCCUGAAUACAUUAGCAUGGAAUAAUGGAAGAGGACCUCGGUCCUAUUCUGUUGGUUUCCAGGACCGAAGUAAUGAUUAAGAGGGACAGUUGGGGGCAUUCGUAUUUAAUUGUCAGAGGUGAAAUUCUCGGAUUUAUGAAAGACGAACAACUGCGAAAGCAUUUGCCAAGGAUGUUUUCAUUAA
rnacentral:rRNA from 1 species